rnacentral:rRNA from 1 species
GAUGAACGCUGGCGGCGUGCUUAACACAUGCAAGUCGAACGAAGCACUUAUCUUUGUUUCUUCGGCUGAAGUGGUUUGUGACUGAGUGGCGGACGGGUGAGUAACGCGUGGGUAACCUGCCUCAUCCAGGGGGUUAACCGUUAGACAUGACUGCUAAUACCGCAUAUGACCACGGAGCCGCAUGGCUCAGUGGUAAAAACUCCGGUGGUAUGAGAUGGCCCCGCGUCUGAUUAGUUAGUUGGUGGGGUAACGGCCUACCAAGCCAACGAUCAGUAGCCGACAGGAGAGGGUGACCGGCCACAUUGGGACUGAGACACGGCCCAAACUCCUACGGGAGGCAGCAGUGGGGAAUAUUGCACAAUGGGGGAAACCCUGAUGCAGCGACGCCGCGUGAGAGAAGAAGUAUUUCGGUAUGUAAAGCUCUAUCAGAAGGGAAGAAAAUGACGGUACCUGACUAAGAAGCACCGGCUAAAUACGUG